UCCCGAAUUCACUCUACUCGCAGCCUUUCUCACACUACACCCAGCCACUAAACCUUUCAGGCCCACAGCAAUCUCAACCUCCUAACCAAGGCUCACAAAACCCAAAACCUCCUCACAACGGCUAAAGAUGACACAUGCAGAAGCUGAAUGCAAACGGGUUUGUAAACCUUUUUUUUUGCAAAUUCAGCAGUUUGGUAUCAUGCUAUCACGGCUCCAAACAAACAUCUGGUGGCUUCUCGGGGUGCUUGCAAGUUACGUGCCUUUCUGGCUCGCUUAGCAACAGGUAAUGAUGAUGCAGAGAGACAUGUACCUAAGUAACCCGAGGAGAUUCUUGGUCCAUACAUCCUCUGGGCUUAUAUAAAUGUUUGGUUUUGCCGUGUAAUAUUAUAAUAUCAUCCUCUUAUUGUAGUCUAUAUCUGAAGCUACCCUUAGUUAAAAAUCGGUGUUGGUGUCUGGUGAUAUUGAUAUGAGUACUGCAAACUCUCUUGCCUUUAUUUAUUUUUUUCUGGAUAUUUCGCUUAAUGCGUGUCUGAAUUAUUGUUUCUGCUUCCGUGGUAUUUAUUAUAUGAUCAUCUAUGAGAUAUGUGCAAGUUUUGGUUCCAGAUAGUGUCCUAUGGGGAUUGUCCAAUCGGUUUUGGGUAUCGGACAUAUUAACACCGACUUUCUUAGGUUUGUUACGGUUUCAGGAAGUACCGCUCGUGGAACCAUCCAUACAAGCAUCGGAUUCUACCCCGGGUGUGAUCCCACAAAGUUUGGUGUUACAUUUUUUUUUUCUCUGUGUCUCGGAAGGAAUAUAUCAAAAUAAAAUGUAAGUUUUCACAGAAAAAACGGUAUAUUAUUUUCAUCAUAUUGUGCGUAUUUUUGGCUUUGGUGAAGGUUAUUAGUCCAGAAAGGACAAAGCCCAUUUGGGUUGGUUUUGGACACGAAAGGGAUUGUGCAGCAUUGGCAAAUAGUGGUUAACGUUCGUCUAUCUGGUCUGGUGUUCCUUGUGAGGACCGUAGUUGGGCCCAAAUAUCAUAAAGAAACACACGAAACACUCUCCGUUUUUGGUUUUGAUCCCAGACAGACAAGAACACUCUCUCAUGUAUGGCAAAUGCCCUCCCUCUUUAAAUCAAAUAACGGACAGGAAGCAGUUGCGGCCCUGGGUAUAAGCAUUAGAAACAUCUGAUUCCGGCCGUUGAUAAUUAACAAAAUUUUCAGCCUAUUUAUAAAAUAUGCCAGUAGGUUAGAUGAUCAAACUAGCUAACAAAUCCCUCCAUAAUAAAAUUUUGGGUUUCUAGUCUUUGUUUUUGUAGAGCUUUUUACUGCUGGGCCUGAGUAGAAAUCAAGAAACAUAAAUAGAUAGAAAUGUGAGAUGUCCAGGACUUUAUGCCUGCUCUCUCUCUCUCUCUUUCUCGAGUCACUCUCAAAAUCUGGUUCGGGUUAGGUUAUAGACAUUUUAUGUGGAACUCAAAAACUGAGAUAGGAUCAAUACUUUUAAAAAUCUAUGCAUUUCUUAUUUUCCAAAACCCAAACAAACAAACCAAACGAAUAUUUUAAUUUUACUGAAAGUAUUAUUUGUAUUUAAUUUUAAAAUAAUUAUAUAUAAAUAUAGUUUAUAAUUAAAACAAGUACAUUUAUAUAUUUUUUUCAGCUACUAGCCAAUUCUCGAUAUUUUUAGCAAAAUCGAACUGAAUUCUGUAGAAACCCUGUCUAAACCUGAAAGCACCGACAGUGCCGGCUCAAUAGGGAGUGCGGCCGGUGCGACCGCCCCGGGUCCGGUUCAAAUCUUACAAUAUUAGGGGCCCUAAUUAUUUAAUUAGCAUAUCUGAUUUAGAUUUAAACAGUAUUAAAACGAUGUAUCAUAAUUUUUUCUAGUUAAAUUAUCAAAGAGAAUAUACAUGUUUGAUGCUCGAGUCGAAAUUUCAGGAAAUUUUUUUACCAACGUUAAAAAAUUAACUUACUAUAGGGGCUUUAAAAUUCUUUUUGCCCAAGGGCCCUUCUAUAUAUUAAGCCGGCCCUGAGCACCGAAAACCAUAAACUCGAACUGGAACCAAACUAUAAUGCCCUCUGCCUAAAUCAAACACUGAAAAUCUGAAACUUUGUAACCCAUUUGCUACUUGUGUUACAGGCUUCACGGUACACAGAUAUAUCCUAUUGAUUAAAUAGUGGGCUUUAAGACAAGGCCUUUCCAGUUUUUGUGGGCCGAAACUGAAAAUAAAAUGCUACACUUGCCCACCAGCGAACGUGAACAUCAGAGUCACAGAUAACAACACUUGAGAGAGUUAUCAGAAAGAGUUCCCUAUCGACACUCUCUCUCUCUCUCUCUUCCUCUCAGCAUCAUCAUCACCACCAAAUCGCCGCCAUGUUCAGACAAGCUUCUCGCCUCGUCUCCCGAUCUAUCACCGCCAAAUCGGCGACAAACCGUGCGUUUUCAACGGAAGUCCCGUCGACGAUCGAUUCGAGUUUCGUGGAGGCAUGGAAGAAAGUCGCACCGAACAUGGACCCGCCGCAGACUCCUUCUUCCUUCAUGAAGCCUCGUCCAUCGACUGCUUCCUCGAUUCCGACGAAGCUCACCGUCAAUUUCGUCCUCCCUUACGCAUCUGAGCUUUCCGGGAAAGAGGUCGGCUUUCAUUUUUCCUCGUUCGAUGUUCGCAUUUAGGUUUCUAGGGUUUGAUCUAUGACUCUGUGUGUUAUGGUUACAUAUUUGAUUGUUGUUUGAUUUCAUGAUAAGGUGGUUAAUUAGGUCUGAAGACUUUUGAUUUUUGGUUAGAUCUAACGGCGCUAAAGUUUAGGGUUUUGAUAGGCCAAAGCUGAAACUGGCGCAGUUGAUGUUUCGUUUAGUUUCUACAUAAUUGUUAAUAACAAGAUCAAGAACAAAAAAAAAAGCCUCACUUUUUAGUGAUUAAGAAUAACCUAAAUCUCCCUAAUUUCUCAGGUUUACCAUUUGUUGUCUCUGCAAAAUGUUGCUUGCUAUAAAUCCAUUAAAAUUUUAUUAAGAGUUUUGUUAUCUCUGCUCUGUUCAUAACCAAAUGAUCCUGGUGUGUUUUUUACGGUUUCUAAUACAAUGUGAUUGGCAAAUAAUGUUUGUUUCAUAUAUCUUGAAACUUUGAUGUUGACAAAUUAUAACUGCUGAUUUCUAAUGUGUUAAUUGGUUUUGUGAAGGUUAAUCUUUUCUCUUCUAUUGAUAUAUGAUGUGGUAUACAUAUAGACUGAAUCUCCAUGGCAAGUAGUAAUUUCUCAUUGGCUUAUUCUCAUAUGUUGGUGGUGCAUUCACUGUGAUAUCUCUUCUGUAGAAUAUACAUUCAGUACUGAAAGUUCUUAUCGUCCCUGACUUGCUUUCUGAUGCAUCCAUUGCUUAUAUCCGAGAACGUAAACCUAUUUCUUGAUUGGUUUGUUUUCUUGUAUAUAUUUAAUUAUAACUCAAAGCUUAUUGGCUUUUUCUCUUUUGUCUACUUCAAGGUCGACAUGGUCAUCAUUCCCGCGACAACAGGACAAAUGGGUGUUUUGCCUGGACACGUUCCAACAAUCGCUGAGCUCAAACCCGGUAUCAUGUCCGUCCACGAAGGUACUGACAUCAAGAAAUACUUUGUGAGCAGUGGAUUUGCAUUUCUCCACGCAAAUUCCGUUGCUGACAUUAUCGCGGUUGAGGCCGUGCCGCUUGAGAACAUCGACGCAAGCCAAGUCCAAAAGGGUUUAGCUGAGUUUACACAGAAACUUGCUUCUGCCACAACAGAUCUUGAGAAAGCAGAAGCACAGAUUGGUGUCGAAGUUCACAGUGCUAUGAACGCAGCUCUCUCGGGCUGAUGAUGAGUGAAAGUCUCUUUUUUACUACUACAAAUGAUGGAAUAAAUUAGAAAAUGAUUUUAUUUUUCCUUUUCGUAAUUGUGUUGGACUUUUUGGAAUAAAUGAUUUUGUUGAAGGCACAAACCAACAGAAAGUUAUUAUUCUUCUCGACUUAUGUUUGUUUUGAGAUUGAGAAACUAAGUUCCCGAAUUGAUUUAUGGUUUUCAUUUCCUAAAAUUCUUUUUUUCUCACUUUGGGCCAUUUUUGCAAUGUCACUUCAGAACGAUUAAAAAUUGUUGGUUUUUCUUGUUGAUUUUGAAACUCUCUCGAAGUGACAAUAUUAGUGUUUUACAGUGACCUAGAAAUAAUAUGAUUUUUAAAAUAUCGAACAACUCAUAUCAUGAUUAACAUAUCAUACUGUACGUAGGCUGGGACGGAUCCAGAUAUUCGGAAAAUUUAAUAUCCGGAUUUCGGAUAUCCGUCUCGAUAUUUUAUUACCCGCGGAUAUCCGGAUCCGUAAAAAUAAUUAAAAAUAAUAUUUUUUUUUAAAACUAAAAUUUUAAUAUAAUAUAUAAACCUGUUGGUACUGGUCGUGGAAGUUCAGUUGGGGGCCACCUUCCCCACCAACAAGCCACCCAGCAUAAUGUUGGAACUAUUGGCCCUAAUGUGAACUUCCCCCUUGAUAGUCCAAAUAGCCAGCCUUCACCUGGUGGUCCGCUAUCCCAACCUGGAUAUGUAAGUAUCGCCCUCAUCUCUUUUAAUUUUUUUCUUUCAUCUAGUAGUUUCUGAAGCAUUAGAGCUCGAUUGUUUUUGGUUGACUUUAAAUCAUCAUACGAUGUUGCCUUUUCAGGGAAGCCAAGCAUUCAGGGAUGGUUUUAUGGGCGGCAUUUCUCAGGUUGUCUUCUCGUUUUAUGUUACUUAGUGAUCAGGGGCAGUCUUUUCUACUUUUGUCUGUUAUUUAAUAUCUUCUAUGUCAAUACCACCAGGAUUUCUUAGGUGAUGAUUUCAAGAGCCAGGGAUCUCAUGUUCCUUACAACAUGGGCGACUAUUCUACACAGGUAGUUUCUCUUCUGCCUGCUUUAGUUAUUAGACAUGUAAAUACUUUGGAUAUAUGAUAGUAGGACUACGAUAAGAUGUCUUUGGAAAUGUAAAACCAAAAUUCCGAGGUUGGGCCAGAUAUAUAUAACCAUGUGUUGCAAAGUUGAUAGUUCUUGAAUUUCACAUAGGAAUUACUGACUGUUCAUGUUUUUUGUAUAUGUUCUUCGUUUCUGAGCCAUAUUUGUAUAUAAUUUCUUUGUAUGCCUCACAGGGAGGAUAUGCGGUUGAUUAUGCCACACAAGGAGCCCAUGGAGCUUUUCCUGGAAACUUUAUGAACCAAAAUUCUCAAGGGGGUUAUUCUCGUUUCAGUGGGAGUAAUGAUUUCAUGUCCCAGGUGUGUUUCACCUAGCCUUUCCUUUUAACACAGUUUUUUUUCCUUAAUUCCUAGACCUUCGUCUGAGUCCUCUAUUGUUGACACAGGAGUAUAUGGCGCAUGGAGCACAAGGUCUUUUCACCCAAGCUGGCUUUAUCGACUCAUCUCAGGAUGAUGGACAACAGAAUCCUUUUGGUGUGAACAAUCCUAAUCUUCAGUCUCAGGUUUGUCCUUAAUCCUAAUCCUUGAUAGUUCGUUUGCAUUAACGUUUACAAUUAACAAAAAAGGAGGAUUCUUAAGAUAGCGAAGGUUGUGUGUUUAUAUAGAGAGAAUUACACACUAAACAUUAACCCAAACUCAUACAAACAAUUGAGGCCUUUCGAGUUUGUGUUCACCAUAUUAAUCUUUGGUACUCAUGUUUCUUUUCAAAAGAUGCUAACGACUCUUCGUCUCACAGGGUCUCCCGAAUUCACUCUACUCGCAGCCUUUCUCACACUACACCCAGCCACUAAACCUUUCAGGCCCACAGCAAUCUCAACCUCCUAACCAAGGCUCACAAAACCCAAAACCUCCUCACAACGGCUAAAGAUGACACAUGCAGAAGCUGAAUGCAAACGGGUUUGUAAACCUUUUUUUUUGCAAAUUCAGCAGUUUGGUAUCAUGCUAUCACGGCUCCAAACAAACAUCUGGUGGCUUCUCGGGGUGCUUGCAAGUUACGUGCCUUUCUGGCUCGCUUAGCAACAGGUAAUGAUGAUGCAGAGAGACAUGUAC
rnacentral:lncRNA from 1 species